GCCUCGAUAGCUCAGUCGGUAGAGCGUUAGACUGAAGAUCUA
rnacentral:tRNA from 1 species